rnacentral:rRNA from 1 species
GCAUAUCAAUAAGCGGAGGAAAAAGAAACCCAACAGGGAUUGCCUCAGUAACGGCGAGUGAAGCGGCAAUAGCUCAAAUUUGAAAUCUGGCUCUUUCAGAGUCCGAGUUGUAAUUUGUAGAGGAUGCUUCGGCUUACGUUUCGGUCUAAGUUCCUUGGAACAGGACGUCACAGAGGGUGAGAAUCCCGUUUGUGGCCGAGACUUCCGCCAUGUGAAGCUCCUUCGACGAGUCGAGUUGUUUGGGAAUGCAGCUCUAAAUGGGAGGUAUAUUUCUUCUAAAGCUAAAUACCGGCCAGAGACCGAUAGCGCACAAGUAGAGUGAUCGAAAGAUGAAAAGCACUUUGGAAAGAGAGUUAAAAAGUACGUGAAAUUGUUGAAAGGGAAGCGCUUGCGACCAGACUUGCCCGCGGAUGCUCAACCGGUCCUUCGGCCGGUGCACUCUUCCGCGGUCAGGCCAGCAUCAGUUCGAGCGGUCGGAUAAAGGCCUUGGGAAUGUGGCUCUCUUCGGGGAGUGUUAUAGCCCUUGGUGUAAUACGGCCCGCCUGGACUGAGGCCCGCGCUUCGGCUAGGAUGCUGGCGUAAUGGUCGUAAGCGGCCCGUCUUGAAACACGGACCAAGGAGUCUAACAUCUAUGCGAGUGUUUGGGUGUCAAACCCGUGCGCGAAAUGAAAGUGAACGGAGGUGGGAACCUUAGGGUGCACCAUCGACCGAUCCUGAUGUCUUCGGAUGGAUUUGAGUAAGAGCAUAGCUGUUGGGACCCGAAAGAUGGUGAACUAUGCCUGAAUAGGGUGAAGCCAGAGGAAACUCUGGUGGAGGCUCGCAGCGGUUCUGACGUGCAAAUCGAUCGUCAAAUUUGGGGUAUAGGGGGCGAAAGACUAAUCGAACCAUCUAGUAGCUGGGUUCCUGCCGAA